rnacentral:lncRNA from 10 species
AGCCUAAGUGUACAGUGUUUAUAAAGACUACAGAAGUGUACAGUAACAUUCUCGGUCUUCAUAUUCACUCACCACUCACUCACUCACUCACUCACUCAUCCACAGCAAUUUCCAGUCCUGCAAGCUCCAUUUACGGUAAGUGCCCUAGAAAUGUGUAACAUUUUAAAAUCUUUUGUAUCAUGUUUUUACUGUACCUUUUCUAUGUUUAGAUACACAAAUUCUGUCCACUAUAUUACAAUUGCCUACAGUAUUCAGCAGAGUAAUAUACUGUACAGGUUUGUAGCCUACGAGCAAUAGGCUAGAGCACAUAGCCUGGGUGCGUAGUAGGCUAUACCAUCCAGGUUUGUGUAAGUGUGCUCUUUGAUGUUUACACUAUGAUGAAAUAGGCUAGUGAUGCAUUUCUCAGAAUGUAUCCGCACAGUUAAGUGAUGCAUUACCGUACAGGUUUGCCUGCUUUAGCCCAGGUAGACAUAAAUUAUAAUAUACUCAUUAUGUGUAUAUUACAGUAUACACAUGUAUAUACUUCUUAACUCAUGAAUUAUAGUAUUGUUCUCAAUCUGUUGGAGUUAUUAGGCUGGUGCAAAAGUAAUUGCGGUUUUGCCAUUACUUUCAUGGCAAAAACCACAAUUACUUUUGCCCCCACCUAAUAGCUUUUAUGCUAGGCCCAUGCAAUUUCACUUUAAGUCAGGGACACUUUGAAGAUGGUCAUCUGAAUUAGCCAAUGUUUUUAAUAAUAACCCACCCCCUUUCUCUCAUUUUCUCCUUUCCUACCUCAGCCUCUUUAUUGCUCCUGUUCUUGGCCUAGGCAGCUCUUAGGGAUAAUAAAUUGGUCUCGGUCCCCACCUUGGCCCAAUGAAAGUGAGGUCUGUAGGUUAAAAGAUCCAUCUCCUCCUUUGACAAGGGUAUGGAAGCUACUCCACUUGUACUUUCUCUUUGGUGACUUGAGGGAGAUCAUAACCCUCAAGGUCAGCAUGCCUUGGAGGCAGUGUCCUUAAUGCCAAGAGAAAGCAGACUGUUUGAGUAGUUUUCUGCUUUCGGCCCUGGAGUCUAUUCAAGUUUCAUGGGUGGAGCUGGGACCGAAUCUGAAUCCAAGCUGAUGGCAAAAUGAUCCUGGCCCCUCAUCAAAUGUUUUCAAUCCCAUUUCUCUGGAGGUGAACCAUAUCUCCACCCAUCCUCCAUGAUCAGGUCUGGAUCCCUAGAUCUAUGAUCGUGUAGACAUCAUUAGCGCCCUCAGCCUCUCAGAAGCCCCUGCCCAUCUACUCCUAUGGUUGGCCAUUACUGUUGUCUUAACCUGAAGCGGGAGGAUUCUACCUCUUUGGACCAGAUGAUAUAGAUUGUUGGCUUCUUGCUAUAAAGGGCCAAUGCUUCUGCUUGGCUGGUCUCAUCUCACUUCCUCCCUCCCUGUGUUGACCAGGAUAUUGCUAGUCAGACAAACUGACUUCAAGCUCUCUCAGAAUACACAGAAUUCAGAGGAUGGAUUUCUAUUUCCCCAUAUCUGGACAGAUGUAUAGAGGUCCUACACUAGGUAAAGACAUCAAUGCCCAUUCUCUGCUGCCUGGAUGUGGGGACCUCUAGAUAAUGAAUGGGAUAGAAAGUGUGUGGUUUUAGAAAGUGAAAUAGCCUAGGUGAACCAGCAGGAAGCCCAAACCAAUAAAAUGUCAAGGCUGACAUCCCCAAAGUUAUUAUCAUACUAUUUGCAGAUCAGACUGCUUGUAAAGAAUUUGACUGCCAAGGCAAAUAACAAUAAUAAUGAAAAUAGCUCUAAGCAAAGGGAUAUCACAGGGCCUCUGAGACAUUUCUUGGCAUUUGCUAUGAUUUAAAAGAUGGCUUAAGCUGUCUUCCCCAUUUUACUUUUUAAGUGGUCAAGAUGUAGUUUAUGGAAUCAUUUAGAGAGAGGUAUAACAAAUGAAUUCUAAAGACCUAAGGAAGAAAAAAUGGAAAGCUGUCCUUCAUCUUCUUUGAGGUCUGUUUUACUUACUCCCGCUCUGCCCUGUAAACAGGUGUAUUAUCACUGCAGCCCUUCCCCAGGUAGAGGUGUGGAAUCAAGCAGCUCCCAGCAGCGCCAUUGGGGAAACAGUACAAUUGACCCUUGAGGGCCUUUAUGGGGGCUGAGAACUUAUUGUGAUGACCAGAGGACCUUUGCUGCUCUCUCUGUUCCUGCUCCUUCCUCAAGUGGCCCAGGAAAGCAAAAGUUGAACUGUGGAGAAUGCUGCUUGAGGAAUAGAGUGUAAAAGUUCAGAAGGGAUUCAUCUGAAACAUUUGAUAAGAAUUUUUCUAAGGGAUUACAUAGUUCCCUGCCUUCUAAGAGUUUGCCAAACUCAUUUGUAACUAGUUUGAUUAUCUGGGAUCUAGUAAGUGGGCUGUUUUCAUGGUCCCACUCUACACAGGUUUCUGUGGUAUCGGCUGCAGGUCUGGAUACUGGAACGCCACCAUUUCUGGGUUCCCUGAGGCUAGACUUUGCUUUUCUGUAAAGAAUCACCUAGGAGUUUCCAAGGUUCCAAAUCCUGCAUUCUGGUUGGAGGAUUUGUCUCCAACUCCAUGGCCUGGUUGGAGACAUCCUCUCCAGCUCACUGUAAGGUCUCACUGCUGUGGGUGGUUCUAGUCCACGUUAAUUUACCAACUGUCCCAGUCCUGACUGUGACACAAAUUUGGCACCUAAGGUAUCCCCAUUGGGGGAGUGAGUAUAUCACUUCUAUUUUUAUAGCUGCCAAAUAUAUAAUUUUUAGUCUUAAAUCUCAUUGAGAAUCUACCCAAAAUGUCUUAAGUUGUUUUAAUUUGGAAGUUUUGCUGUUCUCUUAAGCCCAGAACAUUGAAAAUAGAAUCCUUUUCUUUACUUUCCCAACUUCCUUAUUUCAGCCAGAGGCCCUGCAGUGCUCUACAAGGCUGUAGUUCCUUGGAGAAACCCAAAUAUGCACACAUUCUUGUCUAUGAUGAUCUUGAGUUACAUACUCCUCUGUCCAAAGGCAGUAGGGAAAGGGCUGGAUUUGGGAGCCCAAGAUUUUCUUUGAAGGACCUGCUCCUCACUUUCCUCAAAGCUCAUAUCCUUCCUAGUGGAAGGGAAGUACUGCUUAUGAUAUCCUUCUGGUUGUGAGAGGUCAGAGAGGAAAAGCUGCUGAGGGAAGUGCAGGAGAAUAUUUUGGCACUUUCUUCCCCACUGAGAACCCCUAAAGUGUAAGUUGCAAAGUAGUGGCCUGGUGAACUUGCUGCAUUGUAUUUAAAAGAAAGAAAUCUGUAUUAGUUGCCAACAUUUAUCAAUCAGUAUAUUUUACACAGACAUCUGAAUUUCCAGGUUUUCUUGAAAAACAAAAAACAAAACAAAAAAAAAACGACUGGAGUUGGCCACACAGAGCCUGCAUUCCCUCAUGACAUUUUGUGGCAGUGGCAGAGCAGCAGCUGCUGCUCUAGUUGGGGGCACAUACUCUCCAGGGGCCUCAGCACCAUCACUGUCUCUUGUAUUGAACCCAGUUGGCUUCACUCACUCUUGCACCUCACCCUUUUGGCUCCUGGAGGCAUUUGAGUGUGUGAUCUCCAGAAGAAGCUCCAGAGAGGAGUUUUGGAGACUUGCAAAUUCACCCUUAGAAACCACCAGCACCAUCUCAGAAACUGUAAGCACUUGACAUGCUGACAGAAUUGAAGCGAUUUUGAACCUUUGGAUCAGAAAAGGUGACACCAGGAGGACUCCAGAUUUGCAAGAUCAUGAUGAUUGUGUAGCUGUAAAGAUAGCUAUAAUAUCUUGACUUAAAGUACGAGAGGUGUCUGUCACAUAUUCCUGACUAUGAGAAUAUACCUUCUGGGGUGUAACUGCCUAGAUAUAAUCAGGCAUGCUGCCAAGAAAUGAUCAGCCUGGAAAAGAGAGUCAGAGAAUUGCACAUGCAACACUAACUACUUCCAAGUUUUUUCUGUUUGAGCCAUUUGGGAAGAAAUCAUUUACUUUCUUUUCUUUCACCAGAAAUUGCUACAUCUAGUAAGACUUCAAUCUUUGAAUAUAAAUCAUUAAAAUUUUCUACUGUAAUUGGCUGAUUAUUUCUCAAGGUCAGUGUUUC